CCCCUGCCAGCCAGGCCGGGCCCUGUCCCCUGCGGGAAGUGCGGUCCACACCAGGGAAGGGCACCCACCCCAGCACGCCCGGCCUCUUCCUACGGCUAGAGGUCACCGUAAUAUGAGGAACUCAGGGGUGGCGCAGGGACGUGGUUCUGGAUCUUCAGCUGCGACCUCAGGCCUCUCGUCCCCUCCCAGCCUCAGUGUCCCCCCUGCCAGAGUGAGGUGAAAACAGCAAAUGCACGGGCAGAAAGCACCUCCCGGGUCCCCACCAUGCCCCCCGUCCCCAACCCUCAGGAGCAGGAAGGGCCCUGCACCCCAGAGGUGAUCAGCCCCACCCAGUGACGUCGGCUGGAAAGGAGAGAGGGACUAGAAUAGGAGUGCGUGGAAACCUCCCGCCCAGGCCACCAGCACCGGGUGUCUCCUCCCUCACCCCAGGGGCUUCCUUUAGCCAAAACCCUGAGUCUGAAGAUCUGCAAACACCCAAAACACCUAAAUGCUGAGUCAUAAAUUCAGAAAGGUCAAGUGUACUUAGCACACUCUCCACUAUCGCUGUGACAAAAUUGAAGUUCAGCCACAUUUUCCCAAACAAAGCCCUGCCGGAGUCUCAAAGCAGCCUGGCCCUGGGGGGCUGCCUGGCAAAAUCACCGCAGUGUCUUCAGCCUCCCUGCGUGGAAGGUGACAUUCAGAGCUAAUUGGGAGGAUUAAAGCACUUCCCUGGGUUGACACCAAGGUCUCCAGCCACAAGUCUUCACCGUGGAGAAUUCACACCUUGAAACUGAAAGUCUUGAAAGGAAAUCGGAUCCAAUCAAAGCAGAUCGUUACAGCCAAGAAGUCUAUAGCUCGAUUCUGAUCAUUCUUAAUUUUCUCGGGCGUUGAAAACACAGUGACUCAUUUCCAUUUUUGGAGAAACUAAAACGAUCUCAUCUGCCCCCACCGUUCUCGCAUCGUGGAGGCAGGAAGGGGAGAGGCCCCAAACAGGCACGCCCGCGAAAGGAACCUUCAGAACCCUGAAACGCCAGCGCCUGCACAGCACUCGCAGACAGAAGCCUCUCAGGACACAAGUGUCUUUUUAAAAAAUAAACAUUAACAUAUCUUUUGUUCUGCCUAAGCCAGAAGCCCCUUAAGGCUGGUCCCAGCCUGUGACAAUCUGCUUUUCCCACUAGGUGGCUCCCAGACCCCCGGCUGCGUGUCCUCGUCCUCCCGGGAGGGAGGGAGGGAGGAGCAGACGUCCUCCGUGGCUCUGCCCUCCCCCACCUGCCCCCGCGAAGCCACGGCAGUCGCCCCCUCUCUCCCAGUUGCCCCAAAUCCACAGGGUCGGUUUAUAUCAAGUCAACAGGCGAACUCGAUUUCUUAUACAACACAGAAUGAAUCAAUGGAGAAUUAAUGAGAUGUUUUCCCACCGAGACUCUAAGAGCUGUGGCCCCUCCACCUGGCCAAGCGCACUGCUCAGCGUGUCCAGUCUACGCGCACGGGGGCACCUGGGCCUCUCCACACAGCGCCACCGCUGCUCGCAAACCUCCUGCCGCCAUCCUCCUGGCUGGCCACCCACGGGACCUCUCCCUGGUGGGGGGUUGUCAGAGACAGUCCCAGGCCCCCCUGCACAGCCUCCCUGUGGGGUGGGUCCCUGUCCCGGUGACUGAGGGCAAGGGGCUGCCCGGGGUGGCUCCUGAAACUAUCCCCACGUGGAAGGGGCCACGCCCUGAACGCAGGGUGCCUGGCUCACACGUGUCUCUGGCAUGAUCCA